rnacentral:rRNA from 1 species
GUCGUAGGGCGCGAGCGUUGUCCGGAUUUAUUGGGCGUAAAGAGCUCGUAGGCGGCUUGUCGCGUCGACUGUGAAAGCCCGCGGCUCAACCGCGGGUCUGCAGUCGAUACGGGCAGGCUAGAGUUCGGUAGGGGAGACUGGAAUUCCUGGUGUAGCGGUGAAAUGCGCAGAUAUCAGGAGGAACACCGAUGGCGAAGGCAGGUCUCUGGGCCGAUACUGACGCUGAGGAGCGAAAGCGUGGGGAGCGAACAGG